rnacentral:rRNA from 1 species
UACAGAGGGUGCGAGCGUUAAUCGGAAUUAUUGGGCGUAAAGGGCGCGUAGGCGGACAUUUAAGUGGUAUGUGAAAUACCCGGGCUUAACCUGGGGAGGUCAUAUCAUACUGGAUGUCUAGAGUUUAGUAGAGGAAAGCGGAAUUCCGGGUGUAGCGGUGAAAUGCGUAGAUAUCCGGAGGAACAUCGGAGGCGAAGGCGGCCGGCUGGGGCCAUUCUGACGCUGAGGCGCGAAAGCGUGGGGAGCAAACAGG